GCGCCCGUAGCUCAGGAGGAUAGAGCGUCGGUUUCCUAAACCGAAGGCCGCUGGUUCGAAUCCAGCUGGGCGCA
rnacentral:tRNA from 1 species